AGAACGAGACCCUGUCUCAAAAAAAAAAAAAAAAAAAAGAGAGAGAGAUAAAUAAAAUGUGGCACACACAUGCAAUGGAACAUCCUUCAGUCAUGCAAAGGAAGAAAAUGCUGACAUACAGUACCACAUGGAUGAGUCUCGAGAACAUUCUGCUAGGUGAAAUAAGCCAGUCACAAAAUGAUAAAUACUGUACAAUUCCAACCAUCAGGAAUUGAGUAGUAGAGUAGUCACGCGCACAGAGACAGAAAGUAGAAUGGUGGCUCCUGGGGGCAGGGGAGCGGGAAUGGGGAGUUCCAGUUUAAUGGGGACAGAAUUGCAGUUUGGGAGAAUGAAAAGGUUCUGCAGAUGGAUGGUGGUGAUGGUAGUACAUACAUUACGAAUGUACUUAAUACCACUGAACUAUACACUCAAUACCACUGAACUGUACACUCAAUACUACCGAACUACACACUCAGUACCACCGAGCUACACACUCAAUAUCACUAAACUGUAUACUCAAUACCACUGAACUACACACUCAAUACCACCGAACUACACAUUCUAUACACCCAGUGGCAACCUUCUUAACUGUGGUCCUGACCACAUCCCUUCCUGCUUAAAACCACUCAAUGCCCACUCAGUGCACGCUCAAUGCCCAAGCUCCUGAACACAGCCUGCAGUCCCCCCCACCCCCAGCCCCUGGCCUCUGCAGCACUCUGCACCCUUUCCACCUGUUGUAAUCCCCACUUCCCAGAGCUUGCUGCCUCUGCCUGCCCCUCUCCCUGCCUCUGCCUGCUCACCACACCUGUCCCUCAGCUCUCAGCCUCUCCACAGGCCCUCCCACCACCCAGCUGGGCCUUAACACUCCUGUGCCCUGGUCUCCUCGAGCCCCCACAGGGGAGAUGUCAGCCUCCCACUCUUCAUCAGGAGGGGCCUUGUGAGCCUCUUCAAAAUGCUGCCGAGGACCAGGACGCAUGGGGAAACGGCACGGCUACCCUUGGGAAGCACUCCGGCUCACUGCACAGCGCUGGGCAUGCGCAGGGCCCUGGAAAUAGCCCUGGAAUGGUGGAGGGGAAGGGACCUAGCCAGGGGCCUGAGCAGUGGACAGAAGCUGCAGUGUCCUGGCUCUGGGAGCCGAGGCCGCUCAGUGGCACCUUCCCAAGGACAGGCCAGAGGCUAGGAGUCUGGGGCACCAGUGCUGGGGGCCCUGCUGUCAGACCCGCCUGCCUGCCUUUCCUACUCAGUACCUACAGGGCACCUCACUAUACAGGGCUGGCACUAGACACUGGGUCCUGCCUAGACCCCGCCCAGGGGCCUACUCAUACUUUCUCCGCCGCAGGGCCUCAGCUGGGCCAGCGCGAUGACUCUGCUGACCAGGAGCUCUGAUGCCCCCUGGCAAGGGCGGUAGAAAGAGUCAGGGCUGGCGUGUCAGAAGGCGGGUGCUCAUCCUGGCUUCAUCGCUGCCCCUCUAUGCGGCCCUGGGCCAACGCCCCACCCUCUCUGCACCCCAGUACCCCUUCUGUAAAGGGGCAGCAAGAAUCUAGCAGCCUGUGCCCUAAGACCAGCACUUCCAGCCAGCUCAGGGUGCCCGGCUCAGCUCCUGCACCCCUGUGCACCCUGUCCAAGGGGCUGAAGCUGUCAGCUAGUCCCAUUUCCUGGGAGGCGGAGUCACUCCAGGGGGCUCAUCUUUGUCCAGCACAAGCUGCCAUGGCUGAGUGCACUCCAGGGCUGGAGGAAGUGGCCUGGAACCUUCUUUCUGGAUCUUAGUCAAUGCUUUCAAAUAAGGGUCCUAAGGACUUUUGCCUUGAAAGGGUGACCAGGGUCCAGGUGCUUCUGGAGCUCCUCCCACUCCUCAGUGUUCACCUUUAGAGGGGAGUUCCUGCUCAAAACAAGUCUUCAGUCAGGAGGAGGAGUUGCCUUCCUGGCCUUUCUGAGCCAUCUGUCUGCUUCUUCUUAGGUCACUAGAAGGAGUUCCUCUUGUCAGAUUCCACUGGAAAAUUAGGGCCCCUUUGCUGGACAAAGGCUCCCAUCCACAUGGCCGGGGAGCAGCCCCAACCCCACUGGGCUGCAGUGAAAGUUCUGAGAGAUUGUGUGAGCCACAGAUUAGCCAAGGGGGUGCUCCCAAGGGAAAAGAUGCCUUUCAAGGUGGCUCCUACAGUCAGAGGCUGCUGGCCUGGGCCCUGCCAUAUUCUUGUCGACACACACACGGACAGCCCUUCUCCUUCAGCCAUACGCUCCCCAUCUUCCCUGGAGCUGCCCAUCCAUCAGACAGGAAUGCCUCCUCCAGGCUGGCUGGGAGGAAUUAGGCUUUAUGAACUCCCCGGGGUAGAAACCAGGCCGGAGCCAGUCUCCAAUGCUGAACUGGAGGGAACUGUGAAUGCCUGUUAAAAAAUCUGCAGCGCAUCAGAAAAUUAUGUAAAACUACAACAAACUCCCCAUAAAUCUAAUACCACUCAGCUCUCUGGUGCUUCGGGGUUGGGAGUGGUGGAAGCAGAGCCGCACACAAUUACUCGUGCGCGUGCGUUACUAGAACACUGACUCUGGGGUUAUAUUGCGUGGGUUUGAAUCUAAUCUUGGUCACUUACUGGUGAUGCUACCCAAGGUGUCUGUGCCUUCAUUUCCCCCCCGUAGAAAUAGGGACAGGAUAGUGGAAGGUAUUGAGAUUGAGCUGGGACCAUCUGCAUAGAGCUGCAUGAGAGCCAGGAGGGCCGGGAGGUGCAGGGCCAGGAGGCAGGCGAGCUGCGGUGCAGCCUGGGCAGGGGCGCCAAGGAGUGCGAGGCCCUGUGGCGCUCCAAGGAGGAGCUUUGGGCCGCUGCGAAAGGCUUGUUACAGGUCCAGAGGUCCAGCUGUCGCGUACCUAGGAUGCCGCGUGGAAGCCGAAGCCGCACCUCCCGCAUGGCCCCUCCGGCCAGCCGGGCACCUCAGAUGAGAGCUGCACCCAGGCCGGCACCUGUCGCUCAGCCACCAGCAGCGGCACCCCCAUCUGCAGUUGGCUCUUCUGCUGCUGCACCCCGGCAGCCAGGUCUGAUGGCCCAGAUGGCAACCACUGCAGCUGGCGUGGCUGUGGGCUCUGCUGUGGGACACACACUGGGUCACGCCAUUACUAGGGGCUUCAGUGGAGGAAGUAAUGCUGAGCCUGCAAGGCCUGACAUCACUUACCAGGAGCCGCAGGGAACCCAGCCGGCACAGCAGCAGCAGCCUUGCUUCUAUGAGAUCAAACAGUUUCUGGAGUGUGCCCAGAACCAGGGUGACAUCAAGCUCUGUGAGGGUUUCAGUGAGGUGCUGAAACAGUGCCGACUUGCAAACGGAUUGGCCUAAUGAAGAAGUUCAACCUGGAGAGAUGGAAAAUCAGCUCUCAUAUCUUAAGUUAAUUUAGUAUAAAAAUAGAAUUGAUAGUGAAGGUAUAAAGUGUAACCAUCAGUUAAACCUCUCCUGUCAUUCCCAGCUUCCUUGCUUCAGAACUGAAAUGGAAGGGGGCGUGUUCCUACUUUGUAGAAUUUGGGACUGGGCAAAAUGUGUUACCUCCUUAAACUAGCUGUUAUGAUUUUAUUCUUUGUGAGUUAAUUAGAAUAAAGUCAUUUUCUUCCAAAAAAAAAAA